rnacentral:rRNA from 1 species
AUUGAACGCUGGCGGCAGGCUUAACACAUGCAAGUCGAGCGAGCGGCGGACGGGUGAGUAAUGUAUGGGAAACUGCCUGAUGGAGGGGGAUAACUACUGGAAACGGUAGCUAAUACCGCAUACCAUCAGAUGUGCCCAGAUGGGAUUAGCUUGUAGGUGGGGUAAUGGCUCACCUAGGCGACGAUCCCUAGCUGGGCUGAGAGGAUGACCAGCCAAACGGGAACUGAGACACGGGCCGGACUCCUACGGGAGGCAGCAGUGGGGAAUAUUGCGCAAUGGGGUCAAGACUGACGCAGCCAUGCCGCGUGUGUGAAGAAGGCCUUCGGGUUGUAAAGCACUUUCAGCGAGGAGGCGUUAAUCGCAGAAGAAGCACCGGCUAACUCCGUGCCAGCAGCCGCGGUAAUUC